rnacentral:rRNA from 1 species
CCUACGGGUGGCAGCAGUGGGGAAUAUUGCACAAUGGGGGGAACCCUGAUGCAGCAACGCCGCGUGGGUGAAGAAGUACUUCGGUAUGUAAAGCCCUUUCAGCAGGGAAGAAAAUGACGGUACCUGACCAAGAAGCCCCGGCUAACUACGUUCCAGCAGCCGCGGUAAAACGUAGGGGGCAAGCGUUAUCCGGAUUUACUGGGGUUAAAGGGAGCGUAGACGGGAAGGCAAGUCUGGAGUGAACGGCCGUGGGCCAACCCCAGGACUGCUGUGGAAACUGUGGUGCUGGAGUGCAGGAGGGGUAAGCGGAAUGCCUGGUGUAGCGGUGAAAUGCGUAGAUAUUAGGAGGAACUCCGAUGGCGAAGGCAGCUUACUGAACUGUAACUGACAUUGAGGCUCGAAGGCGUGGGGAGCAAACAGGAUUAGAUACCCGUGUAGUC